UUGAGCUCAGAUUAUUCUUUAGCAACUUAGAUUUCCUUUUUAUAUUAGACUAGUGAUAUUUAAGUCCAGAUAGCAAAGUUUUGAUGUUCAUACAGUAAAUGUCGCUUCUACUUCGUGGAAAAUAAUAUAAUAUUCUUGCCUUUCUUGUGCAAUCUAUUUUGUGUCGUAAAAGACAUCUUUUAGUGGCAUCUGUACUUCAACUGUACCCAAGUUGUUUUAUAUUAUUCCAAUUAUCUGAGUGCAGGUGGCUAGCGUCACUUCAUAUUCCUCAACUCUUUCCGAUCAUUACUAAUGACUGGCCAGUUUUAGUUCAAUGAGAGAUUAUGAAUUUAAAUUGCACUGAGUUCUGGUUUAGUGUUGAGCAAUCACUCUCAUAAGAUAUAUGAACACUUUCCUGUAGGAAUCAACACUGUAGUUUCAGGGCACAUAGUAGGAUAUACUACUUCUUUCUGCAUUAAUUAAUAGUGACUGUGUCUCUUAUUUUUAUAUCUCUGAAUAGACCUAGAGAUUGCUUCAAUUUAAUGCUUGGACGACUUCUACUAAUACUCUUCAGGCUUUAUUUUUUGGCUUCUCGGAUUUCUAGAUACAUGGCACGGGUGAUAGGAUUUAAGUAACCUGACAAUAAUAUUCUGUGAGUAGCACUGAAAAAUUGUUGUCUAAAAUAAUCAGGGGAACAGGUCAGUUAUUGAAUGGGGGCCACAAUGAGUUAACAAUUAGUUAUAGGCAGGAGAACUGCAUAUCAUUGUAUUAAAGAAGAAUUUUCUAGUGAUUUUAAAAGGCACCACCACCUAAUGAGCAAGAUGUUUUUUUUUGUGGGUGAUGGCCAAGGCCCAAGAUGUUAAGAUAUUAUCCUCGUAGCAAAUGAUUGUGAAAAUUUACAGCCACUUCUGUGCUACAGUGGACUCUGGAGGAGAGGAUCUCACCAUAUUCCACGCAUCGUAGUUGUUGUCAUCUUUCCCAAUCAGAUGUUUAUCAUGGAAUAGUUUCCCAUGAGUUACACAGUGCUCUUGUUCAGGCGAAGGUAAUCGGCAUACAGAGUGAAUCAGUGGGGUGCAGACUGGAAGUGAGUGACAUCAGCAUUUGGAAUUUGUGCAGUGGAGUACAGGAGGGAUGAUCAGAAGAAGUAUACAGGAAGGAACACAGCUUCUUCCAAUGAUGGUCUUCUAUAUUUUGGUGGCAGUUUGCAAACAGAAAACUGAGAUUUUCUUAUGUGUGCUGUGUUCAAAUUACACCACCACCAAGCUCAUAUAAGAUUAUUAUCCUUCAAGAACUGAAAAGAAAGUUCUAGGCACAAGUAGCUAGGAUGACUAUCCUUGCCUGGUCGACCUCACUGAAGAAAUCUCGAUGCGGAACUGGAAUAGAAGGUGCGGAUGGGUUGGAGAUUACCAGUGUUAGUGUGUACGGUAAGCUCGCUGUGUCUGACUGUUGAACCAGAUUGAUUCCAGGCAUUCAGCUUUUGACCUGGAUUUUUGGUUUGAAACUCUGGAUUGGGACCAAGUCAAACAAAAAGUUGAUAACAGAAAUUGAAGGUAAUAGGCUACCUGUCAAAAUUAAGUUAGUUAAAAAUUCACUGCAGAAACAUUAAAACCUGAACAAAAGAAGACUGUUUUUUUUUUCUUUGGGCUACAUAAUACCAGGAAAUCAUAUCAGGAGAUAAUAGUUCUGAAAACUGAGUACUGGACUUUCAAAAUGUCUUCUGCUUGAUUAAUGUGCAUGAAACACUAUUAAACAGAACAAGACACAAAAGCAAUGUUCAAAAAAGCGCUAGG